UACGUAGGGUGCAAGCGUUAUCCGGAAUUAUUGGGCGUAAAGAGCUCGUAGGCGGUUUGUCGCGUCUGCUGUGAAAACUGGGGGCUCAACCCCCAGCCUGCAGUGGGUACGGGCAGACUAGAGUGCGGUAGGGGAGAUUGGAAUUCCUGGUGUAGCGGUGAAAUGCGCAGAUAUCAGGAGGAACACCGGUGGCGAAGGCGGAUCUCUGGGCCAUUACUGACGCUGAGGAGCGAAAGCGUGGGGAGCAAACAGG
rnacentral:rRNA from 1 species